rnacentral:rRNA from 1 species
AUUGAACGCUGGCGGUAGGCCUAACACAUGCAAGUCGAACGAGUGGCGGACGGGUGAGGAAUACAUCGGAAACUACUCUGUCGAGGGGGAUAACGUCUGGAAACGUUAGCUAAUACCGCAUACGAUUGGAUGAGCCCAUGUCGGAUUAGCUAGUUGGCGGGGUAAAGGCACACCAAGGCGACGAUCCGUAGCUGGUCUGAGAGGAUGAUGAGCCACACGGGAAUGGAGACACGGUCAAGACCCCUACGGGAGGCAGCAGGGGGGAAUAUUGGACAAUGGGCGCAAGCCUGAUCCAGCCAUACCGCGUGGAUGAAGAAGGCCUUCGGGUUGUAAAGCCCUUUUGGUGGGAAAGCGGUACCCAAAGAAUAAGCACCGGCUAACUCCGUGCCAGCAGCCGCGGUAAUAC